rnacentral:rRNA from 1 species
UAUUUUGUUGGUUUCUAGGACCGCCGUGAUGAUUAAUAGGGACAGUCGGGGGCAUCAGUAUUCAAUUGUCAGAGGUGAAAUUCUUGGAUUUAUUGAAGACUAACUACUGCGAAAGCAUUUGCCAAGGAUGUUUUCAUUAAUCAGGAACGAAAGUUAGGGGAUCGAAAACGAUCAGAUACCGUUGUAGUCUUAACCAUAAACUAUGCCGACUCGGGAUCGGACGAUGUUAUUUUUUGACUCGUUCGGCACCGUACGAUAAAUCAAAGUGCUUGGGCUCCAGGGGGAGUAUGGUCGCAAGGCUGAAACUUAAAGAAAUUGACGGAAGGGCACCACCAGGGGUGGAGCCUGCGGCUUAAUUUGACUCAACACGGGGAAACUCACCAGGUCCAGACACAAUGAGGAUUGACAGAUUGAGAGCUCUUUCUUGAUUUUGUGGGUGGUGGUGCAUGGCCGUUCUUAGUUCGUGGGGUGACCUGUCUGCCUGAUCGCGAUAACGAACGAGACCUUAUCCUGCUAAAUAGCCCGUAUUGCUUUGGCAGUACGCUGGCUUCUUAGAGGGACUAUCGGCGUAAGCCGAUGGAAGUUUGAGGCAAUAACAGGUCUGUGAUGCCCUUAGAUGUUCUGGGCUGCACGCGCGUUACACUGGCGGAGCCAGCGAGUACUCCCUUGACCGAAAGGUCCGGGUAAUCUUGUUAAACCCCGUCGUGCUGGGGAUAGAGCAUUGC